GAUGAACGCUGGCGGCGUGCCUAAUACAUGCAAGUCGAGCGAACAGACGAGAAGCUUGCUUCUCUGAUGUUAGCGGCGGACGGGUGAGUAACACGUGGAUAACCUACCUAUAAGACUGGGAUAACUUCGGGAAACCGGAGCUAAUACCGGAUAAUAUUUUGAACCGCAUGGUUCAAUAGUGAAAGACGGUCUUGCUGUCACUUAUAGAUGGAUCCGCGCUGCAUUAGCUAGUUGGUAAGGUAACGGCUUACCAAGGCAACGAUGCAUAGCCGACCUGAGAGGGAUAGCGCCCACUCGGAAUCAGACACGGGGCCGAGACCUACGCGAGGGACAGGUGUGGAGAAUUCUCCGAUAGGGGCAAGCGUCAGACGGAGAAACGCCGCGUGUGAGAUGAAGGUCUGGGGAGCAAAAAUCUCUGUUAUGAGAGAAACAAAUGUGUGUAAGAAUAUGCGCAUAUCGACGCGGCACAUAAACAGAAAGACGCCGCAAAACACG
rnacentral:rRNA from 1 species